UAAAAACUACAUAAAAAGAUGGAAGCAGGAAUACAUAAAUUCGCUUAGGAAAUAUUACCGAUACACAGAUCGAAACACAUAGAACAUUAACGUCGGAAAUAUGUAGUUCAGAUUCAGGACUAUGUAUCUAGAGUAAAUUGGACUUUGGCGAUCAUUGACAAAUUUUUUUACGGCAAAGAUGGACUUACACGAUCAGCCAUAAUUCGAACAAAAACUGGUUUGAUAUCUAGACCAAUCAUCAAACUUGAAUUCUUUGGAACUUGAAAAUAUAGCAGCUCAGAGUGAGGAAAAGAC
rnacentral:lncRNA from 1 species